CCUACGGGAGGCAGCAGUGGGGAAUAUUGCACAAUGGGGGAAACCCUGAUGCAGCGACGCCGCGUGUGGGAAGACGGUCCUCUGGAUUGUAAACCACUGUCCCCAGGGACGAAGAUGACGGUACCUGGGGAGGAAGCUCCGGCUAAGUCCGUGCAAGCAGCCGCGGUAAUACGUAGGGAGCGAGCGUUGUCCGGAAUUACUGGGGGGAAAGGGAGCGUAGGCGGGGAUGCAAGUUGGGUGUAAAAACUACCGGCUCAACUGGUAGUCGCACUCAAAACUGCAGCUCUUGAGUGAAGUAGAGGCAGGCGGAAUUCCUGGUGUAGCGGUGAAAUGCGUAGAUAUUAGGAGGAACACCAGUGGCGAAGGCGGCCUGCUGGGCUUUUACUGACGCUGAGGCUCGAAAGUGUGGGGAGCAAACAGGAUUAGAUACCCGAGUAGUC
rnacentral:rRNA from 1 species